UACGUAGGGGGCUAGCGUUGUCCGGAAUCAUUGGGCGUAAAGAGCUCGUAGGCGGUCUGUUACGUCUGCUGUGAAAACCCGGGGCUUAACCCUGGGCUUGCAGUGGAUACGGGCAGACUAGAGGCAGGUAGGGGAGAAUGGAAUUCCCGGUGUAGCGGUGAAAUGCGCAGAUAUCGGGAGGAACACCGGUGGCGAAGGCGGUUCUCUGGGCCUGACCUGACGCUGAGGAGCGAAAGCGUGGGGAGCGAACAGG
rnacentral:rRNA from 1 species